GCACUCGCUUCGGCAGCACAUUAACUAAAAAUUGGAACAAUAUAGAGAAGAUUAAUGUGACUUUUGCACAAGGAUAACACCCAAAUUCGUGGAGCAUUCCAUAUUUUU
ensembl:snRNA U6 U6 spliceosomal RNA